CCUUACAAUAGAUCUUAUGAAGAAGUUAUAAUUUCUCUUAUACCUAUGACAUGUAAAGACAAACUUAAGUCGAAUAAAGAAGUUGAAGCAUCUUUUAAAGCCUUGAAGAUAAUAUUUACUUCUACACCAAUUUUAUAUUGUAUUAAUUCUUUUAGAGCAUUCUAUAUAGAAAUAAAUCCAUCAAAUUUUGCUAUGAGUGAAAUCUUGUCACAAAUGGAAGCAAAUGAC
rnacentral:lncRNA from 1 species